CAGAGGUCCCAAGCGUUGUUCGGAUUCACUGGGCGUAAAGGGUGCGUAGGUGGUGAGGUAAGUCGGAUGUGAAAUCUCCGAGCUCAACUCGGAAAUGGCAUUGGAAACUACCUUGCUCGAGGGUUGGAGGGGGACUGGAAUACUUGGUGUAGCAGUGAAAUGCGUAGAUAUCAAGUGGAACACCAGUGGCGAAGGCGAGUCCCUGGACAACUCCUGACACUGAGGCACGAAAGCUAGGGGAGCAAACAGGAUUAGAUACCCUGGUAGUCCUAGCCGUAAACGGUGCACGUUUGCUGUAAAAGGAAUCGACCCCUUUUGUGGCGUAGCCAACGCGUUAAACGUGCCGCCUGGGAAGUACGGUCGCAAGAUUA
rnacentral:rRNA from 1 species